GCUGGGUGCAGUGGCAUGAACCUGUAGUCCCAGUUAUUCGGGAGGCUGAGGUGGGAGGAUCACUUGAGCCCAGGAGUUCAAGGCUGCAGUGAGCUAUAAUCAUGCCACUGCACUGCAGCCUGGGCAACAGAGUGAGACCUUGCCUCUA
rfam:Pan troglodytes isolate Yerkes chimp pedigree #C0471 (Clint) chromosome 2A, whole genome shotgun sequence.